rnacentral:rRNA from 1 species
GUCAGACGAUGCGUCAUGCAUAUCAAUAAGCGGAGGAAAAGAAACUAACAAGGAUUCCCCUAGUAACGGCGAGUGAAGCGGGAAGAGCUCAAAUUUGAAAUCUUAAAGGGUUUCCCUUUACGAAUUGUAGUUUAAAGAAGUGUUUUCUGUUGAGGUUUUGGUAAAAGUUCUUUGGAAUAGGACAUCAUAGAGGGUGAGAAUCCCGUAUUUGACCUUUACUUUCAACUUUGUGAUACACUUUCAAAGAGUCGGAUUGUUUGGGAAUGCAGUCCAAAAUGGGUGGUAAAUUUCAUCUAAAGCUAAACAUUGGCGAGAGACCGAUAGCGAACAAGUACCGUGAGGGAAAGAUGAAAAGAACUUUGAAAAGAGAGUUAAACAGUACGUGAAAUUGUCAAAAGGGAAGCGUUUGACACCAGUGUUGUUUUUCUGAAAAUCAAUUAAAGAACUGUUUAUGCUAAGUUGUUUAGACUUUAUCAGCUAUCUGUUUAGUUUUGAGCUUUUCUUUAAUGCACUUUUCAGUUAACAAGUCAACAUCAAUUUCCUUUGCUGUAAAAAAGCUUGAGGAAGGUGGCUUGAGAUUCGUCUUAAGUGUUUAUAGCCUCUUGCCUAUGCAGUCGGAGAGAUUGAGGUCUGCAGCGUAGAUCCUUCGGGGCUAAAUGCAUUUGUGCUAAGUUAUAGCAUUUUAUAGACAACUUGUUGACUAUGAUUUGUCUUGUAGCUUACUCGCUUAUGUUAUUUUACCUACGCUUAGGAUGUUGAGCGCAUGUCUCUCUCU